AUUGAACGCUGGCGGCAUGCCUUACACAUGCAAGUCGAACGGCAGCACGGGUGCUUGCACCUGGUGGCGAGUGGCGAACGGGUGAGUAAUACAUCGGAACAUGUCCUGUAGUGGGGGAUAGCCCGGCGAAAGCCGGAUUAAUACCGCAUACGAUCUACGGAUGAAAGCGGGGGACCUUCGGGCCUCGCGCUAUAGGGUUGGCCGAUGGCUGAUUAGCUAGUUGGUGGGGUAAAGGCCUACCAAGGCGACGACCAGUAGCUGGUCUGAGAGGACGACCAGCCACACGGGGACUGAGACACGGCCAAGACUCCUGCGGGAGGCAGCAGUGUGGAAUUUUGGACAAUGGUCGAAAGCCUGAUCCAGCAAUGCCGCGUGUGUGAAGAAGGCCUUCGGGUUGUAAAGCACUUUUGUCCGGAAAGAAAUCCUUGGCUCUAAUACAGUCGGGGGAUGACGGUACCGGAAGAAUAAGCACCGGCUAACUACGUG
rnacentral:rRNA from 1 species